ACUGAUUUAAGCAGCUCUUUGUAGAGUCUGUUGCUGGUCUCAUAUGUUGAAAUAUUUUAUGUCCUUUCACCUUCUUAAUCAUGUACAUUGGUAAAUAGUACUACAUUGAAAAUUACUUUUAUUUAUUAAUCAUUUCCUUUAGGAUCAAUUCUUUUUGAAUUCUUUCCAUUUAUUCCAAAUCCUGAACGUAUUCUGUAAUCUCGUCUUAAAGAUUUUGCCUGAACAUUUAGAUGCACAUUCUUCAGGAGUUGAAUAUGUAUAUAGCGUAACAU
rnacentral:lncRNA from 1 species